rnacentral:rRNA from 1 species
CUCGCCCUGAAACUGCGAAUGGCUCGGUAAAUCAGUUAUAGUUUAUUGAUAGUGCAGCCUACUCGGAUAACCGUAGUAACACUAGAGCUAAUACGUGCGUAAAUCCCGACUUUUUGAAGGGACGUAUUUAUUAGAUUUAUGGCCAGCCGGGCUUGCCCGACCAGCGGUGAAUCAUGGUAACUUGACGGAUUGCAUGGCCUUUGUGCCGGCGACGUGUCAUUCAAGUUUCUGCCCCAUCAGGUUUCGACUGUAGUGUAUUGGACUACAGUGCCUAUAACGGGUAGCGGAGGAUUAGGGUUCGAUUCCGGAGAGGGAGCCUGAGAAACGGCUACCACAUCCAAGGAAGGCAGCAGGCGCGCAAAUUACCCAAUCCCAAUUCAGGGAGGUAGUGACAAGAAAUAGCAAUGCGGGGCUUACUGCUCUGCAAUUGGAAUGAGUACAAUUUAAAUCACUUAACGAGUAUCAAUUGGAGGGCAAGUCUGGUGCCAGCAGCCGCGGUAAUUCCAGCUCCAAUAGCGUAUAUGUAAGUUGUUGCGAUUAAGAAGCCCGCAGCUGAACCUCGGGCAGCCCUGAUGGUCCGCGUUUCGUGAGUACUGUCGUGGGCUGUCUUUCUGGCAAGACCGUAUUUCAGUGUUAAUUCACUUGGGAACGUCGCUUGCCAAGGUUACUUUGAGUAAAAUAGAGUGUUCAAAGCAAGCUUGCGCUAUGAAUACACUAGCAUGGGAUAACACGACAUGACCGAUGGUCUAUCUUGUUGGCCUGUAGAUCUGUUGGUAAUGGCUAAUAGGGACGGUCGGGGGCAUUCGUAUUUCGCUGUCAGAGGUGAAAUUCUUGGAUUUGCGAAAGACGAACUACUGCGAAAGCAUUUGCCAAGGACGCUUUCAUUAGUCAAGGACGAAAGUCGGGGGAUCGAAGACGAUUAGAUACCGUCGUAGUCUCGACCAUAAACGAUGCCAAUUAGGGAUUGGAGGGUGGAUCUUUUAUGCCUCCUCCAGCACCUUCCGCGAAAGCAAAAUUUAUGGGCUUCGGGGGGAGUAUGGUCGCAAGGCUGAACUUAAAAAGGGCGACUCCAGCACACUGGC